ACCAAGGGGACUCUGCAUGGGCACAUCCCGGCCCUCCUCCCUGCAUGUUCUCCAAGCCAGGUCUUUGAAACAGCCAGUGAUGGGAAUGACAGAAUCUGGGAUGAUUUUCUUCUGUUUCUUAUCUAAAAAACAACAAAAAGCUCAGCAUACACUGACUCACACAAACCUUUUGCUAGAGGCAGCUCUGUAGACUUAAGACGCUGUCAUUUUUCAGAAGAACCCAGCUUGCUUUGGAACUACAGUCAGCCCUGCAACUCACCCUCACCUUGGACCCUGCUGCUGCUGUCUGUAAAGACAAUGCUGCGAUGAAUACACCUGUGCAUUCUUUUUUAGAACGAGUGUAAGGAUUCCUAUGUGGUAAGUCUGUUUAAAGAGAAUUUCAGAUUCACGUGUAGAUGUGUUAAGUUUGAGCGAUGUUGCCAAACUGUCUUGAAAUUAUACCCUCUGUAAUAGUAUAUUGGGAUAUUUGUUUCCUUUUGUUCUUGUCAGUUUUCAUACUAUAAAACUUAAACAUGUUUGACAA
rnacentral:lncRNA from 1 species